ACCGUUCAGGUGGAGAGGACAGGAAGAGAAGCUUGUGUAGGUUGAUGGGAAAGUAGGCCUGCAAACUCGACCAACGGCAGGAAUUCCAGAGGGAGAAGGGGAGAUAACAGGGAACCUGUUUCUUCUAAACAGCGACGCUCUAACCUGAGGAGCUUCCAGCUGGAAGCCAGCCUGCGACAGGACCGGGGCUCUCCGGGGAUCGCGUCGAUACAUACCGGUGUGUGUGUGUGUGUGUAAGCUGAUAAUAGCAGCCCUAUUGGUAUUCUGUGGAGGGUGUCCCAGGAUCCGUCUGUGCUCUAGCCUAGGAUGGGAUCACAGAGAAGGGAUUGUGCUCUGCGCUGGAGAGGGCCUCUGAGAUGGGACUAACGCUCGGUGGAACAGCAUCUGUGUUCCUGAGGCGUGUUUUCCUCCACCACCAGUAGUCCCUGUUCUCAAAAUGGGAUCCGGCGCACGCCAGGUAUCAUCCAGCUUCUCUCCUCCGACCCCCCUGCUCCCUUCAGGCCCCCCCAGCCCUCAUCCCACCUGGACCCCAGCCACCACAACCCACGUCGGCGCAGCCACAUUCUGAUUCCAAAACCAAAGGGAUCGGCAGAGAACGAGAUUGGGGAAUUCCGUGCAACUGUUUGUCGAGUUCCUACAGGCGUCUUCGGGGGUACAAUCGCGGUUGAUUGUCAAUUUCACCCGCACCUGUUGAUUUAGCCUGCAUGACUUAAAGCUUUCGGGACACAUCGUACUGGAAUGACAAACCAAACUGUUCUCCCUUCGGACAGCAACAUGGGGAUUGCAGAAACAACGGGAUUUAUCAACUGGAUAUCCUGCGGAGAUUACGAGACUUUCUGUGUUCACUUCAAAGUUGGGCCGCUUUUCCACAUCAGUUUGUGGGCAAAAGCGAAUAAUUGAAACUCCAACCCGUUGGGAAACUUCUCUUCUGAUUUGUUUGGGGGGCUUAUUUUUUUUUUAAGAAGCAAUUUUCAAAGCCUCGCUCUUUUUUGUGUGUCUCCUUCUCUGUUUCUACUUUUUCAUCCAGAGAGCAGGAAUACAUUAUGAAUCGGCUCCAUUCUUUCUGAUCCUCCCCCGGUGACGGAGAGAGUGGAGGGACAAACUGUCCAGAAUAGAUAAGGAGGGAGGAGAGACAGAUUGAGAAAAAGGAGAAGAUAGAAGACGACAGGGGAACAGGUAGAGGGAGGGAGGGGAGGAGAGAGUGAGGGGAAAGCAAGAGAGAGAGAGAGAGAAUUAACUAGGAUUGUCAAAAAUCCUCCUGGAGACUUGCUGCCUCGGUCUAAUUCAUCUCUCCCUGUGCCCAGGUGCAGGUUGCUCGGGCGAGAUGGGUCGGGGUGGGGGCAGGAUUCAGAGGGAGGGAGGCAGCUGAGUUCCAGAGGAUCCGCUUCCCCCGGGCACAUCCCUGGGCUGGAACAAACAGAUUUGGAUAGUCGGUUAGACAGACGGACAAGGCAGCUAGACAACAAGACGGACGCACGGACAGACAGAGGGGCAGGUUGAUAGACAGUGAGCCAGAGGGGGGAAAAACCGCCAGCACAGACUCACAUCCAGAAACACAGCCGUCAUUAUCAUUCUAGUCUGUGUGGAAGUGAGUGAGAGGGUAAGGGAGAGAGAGAACAAGGGAGAGGGAAGGAGAGAGAGAGAGAGAGAGAGAGAGAGAGAGAGAGAGAGAGAGAGAGAGAGAGAGAGAGAAUGUCCCUUUUUUCACAGUUCCUGGAGGAACUCAGCCUUGUUGCAAUUAGGACCAUCUGACUGCAACUCCACCGCCGGCUUCGUGGCAAGCCCUGACACAAACAGACAGCGAGUGUUUUACUGGAGAGGAGGUAUAGGUUUCGAGAAGUAUCAGAGAGAGGAAGAGAGAGGGAGACAAACAGGCGGAGAGAGAGCAGGUGUCGGAAACCCUCCCCUUCAUCUGCUUGUCAUUUUCCCCGUUCAGUCGGCGUUUGGAGACACGGAGGCCUCACUAACCAGAAGGAACCAAAACACACAUAGGAGGAGGGCAGGAAAGAGAGAAAGGGAAGGCGAGGGAGGCCCCCUUUUUAAAACAGAAACAGAGAAAUAUUCCUCCCCCUUUUUUCUCAUCUGAACAAGACGGUCCUACAUCUACUGAGAAGACGAGAUAAAAAGUGAGAGCAACCUUUCUUUUCCCUCCCUUUCUUUCUCCAGGGGAAAACCCAACUCAGAGUCCUGUCGUCCAAACAUUGGAACCUCCUCUGGUAUUUUUGGUCUCACCCUUCCAAAUCACUCACCUCUGAGACGAUCCAUAACCUUCAGAUCCCCUCAACCGUACCCCAACACAGCUCUCUGAAGUGGCACCCCCCUUACCACACCUUCCACCACCCAGUAUCCACUACCCCUCCCUCCCUCCUACCCACACACACACCCCCCUCACGUACGCCCCCAACCAGUGGAUUCUAUCUUCAUGCCCGUGGAGGGCUUCUCUGAUCAACUUCCACACAGCUAAAUGGACGGCAGCUUCUGACACAGUCUGGUUUAUUCUGUAAGUAGGACAUUUCCUCUCUCCCGUUAUAUGUUUGUGUGUGUUGACGUGAAAUAGUGUGCUAUGUGUUGAGUGUGGGUAGCGUGAGCCUGGCUUAUGUCAUAUGUGCUUCCUUGGUUUCAUUUCUGAGCCCCGAGUUGGUUUUUCUGCUGCCUUCAAAGCGUCACAGAUCGCGUCGCCUCGGCUGCCUCAGCUUCAGGCGAUUUGAGUGUGUGUGUGUAGGACAAACAGAGAUUGCAUGCGUGAUCUGUGGAUAGCCAGGCUUACAGCA